GCAUGCUGCAUUUGCUCUUUUAACAAAUUGCUAAUAAUCCAACAAGUUCGGUCGCGGUUACAUAAAUUGACAAUCUUCUAUCUCUUAGCAAUCCAUGUGAUCCAGUUCAUCGGAUUUCCAGUCACAGUAAACCAUGAGGCCUAAAAUGAGUAGGUAUUCCAUGGCCCCAACAGUAUGAGUGAUCAAAACACAAUGUCCAUUUAUCAGUUUUAAGCUGUACUGAGGAAUCAAAGUGUGCAACUGCCUAAACAAGACGCAGAAGGAAAGCAUAUUGCACUUUUACCUUUUCUGAUGUGAAGUAAUUGUCCUGCAUAUCAAGGAAUAAAAUGGAAGUGUAGGUAAGAACUUUGUGGCUAAGAAAAUUCAUCCAACAUGGCUUGGAUGUCCACUUUUAGGUCCUUUUUGAUCAUUGAGUACUUUUAAUAUCCUAUUCUGCACUGCUAUUCGUUGGGCAGAAGAACUUUUAUGCACCUCACAACUCACUAGCAAAAGAAAAGAAUGAGCAUCAAUGUGUCAUGGCCAAUAUUAUUCGUGCCAGAAUAAAGGACAAACAAGUGAGAUUGUUUGAGAUAUUCCUGAUCCAGACAACAGGAUAUU
rnacentral:misc_RNA from 1 species